rnacentral:snRNA from 1 species
GGAUGUGAGGGCGAUCUGGCUGUGACAUCUGUCACCCCAUUGAUUGCCAGCGUUGAUUCGGCUGAUCUGGCUGGCUAGGCAGGUGUCGCCUUCCUCCCUCACCGCUCCAUGUGCGACCCUCCCAAAGCUGCACGCUCAGUCGAAGAGGACGACCAUCCAAGGGUAUACGAGUAGCUGCGCUCCCCUGCUAGAACCUCCAAACAAGCUCUCAAGAAAUAAUAAAAUAAUUUGACAGGCCGGGCACGGUGCCUCAUGGCUGUAAUCCUAGCACUUUGGGAGGCCGAGG